rnacentral:rRNA from 1 species
ACGUAGGGUGCAAGCGUUGUCCGGAAUUAUUGGGCGUAAAGAGCUCGUAGGCGGUUUGUCGCGUCUGCUGUGAAAACCCGAGGCUCAACCUCGGGCCUGCAGUGGGUACGGGCAGACUAGAGUGCGGUAGGGGAGAUUGGAAUUCCUGGUGUAGCGGUGGAAUGCGCAGAUAUCAGGAGGAACACCAAUGGCGAAGGCAGAUCUCUGGGCCGUAACUGACGCUGAGGAGCGAAAGCAUGGGGAGCGAACAGGAUUAGAUACCCUGGUAGUCCAUGCCGUAAACGUUGGGAACUAGAUGUAGGGACCAUUCCACGGUUUCUGUGUCGCAGCUAACGCAUUAAGUUCCCCGCCUGGGGAGUACGGCCGCAAGGCUA